rnacentral:lncRNA from 1 species
AAACACCAAAACACACUGCAUAUUUCUCACAAUUUAAAACUCUCUGAAUUCUCUCUUUCUCUGCUAUUUCUAUACUCUCUCAUUCUCUUAUUUGAGCACUCAAUUGCCUGAAAAGCCAAGAUUGAGUAAACUUGGGUUGUUUACUUCUACACUACUGGAUUCUAUUGCAUUGCUUACUUGGGUUUUCCUGCUGCUCUCUUUGCUACACACUGCCAUUCUCACACUGUAUUGUACACCACUACUCUCUCUCUGCUGCUCACACUAUCUGCUCACUUUGCUCUCUCUGUGCACUUUUGCUCAUUGCUCUUUGUGUUAUAUUUGUCUGCAACAUGUACGUUAUCUAUUUAGUAUACAACCCCCAAAACAAUAUGGUUCUCUUAAUCCUGCACUUCAUCUUGUUCCUUGUGUGCUUUUAUUUGUGGUUCUGUUGUUCUUAUUGUCACUAGUAUGCACUUUCUAGACUACUUAGCUUAGAUUAGGAUGUUCCCCUUACCCCCUUCCCUGUCUCAACGAAUGUUUACUUUUCCUUGUGCAUUACUACCAUGUGUCCAGGGCUGCAUUGCUACUUGAUUAGCCUAAAACCUCUUCCUGAGGUUAAGUGUAUUGGAGUUUGGUGCAGUAAGAACUGAACCCCUGUUGUUCUACAACUGUGUCUGAUUACCUGCCUUCACUAUGUUUGUAUGUGUGUGUAGGUCCCUGUACUUAUCUGUGCCCUUCCCGUUUGCCCCUGUUUGUGUGAUGCUAUGUUUUAAACUGGUUAGUACCAAUGGUUUCAAAAGAACUCCUUUCAAUUCUUUCAACUCUCUUAAACUAUUUUCUCAAACUGUCUCUCAAAUCUUUCUGCUCUUUUCUUAAAUUGACUCUCAAUUGUUUUAAACUCUCUCAAUCCUAUCACAACUUCACUAUUCUUAGAACAGUAGGUUUUGCCCCCUUAGUGUAGGCAUUGCCUUGGGAGCCCUUGAGCGCCAAUUGAACUUCGAUGCACAAGACUGGUACUUCCAUACUUGCACUUGUCUAAUAAUGAUACUUUGGGUGCUUGAUAUUGGCCAGGGGUUCAAAUGAACCCUUAGGGAACUUUGCCGCAUCCAAACCAUGGUAAAGGCUGUGAAACUCGAAAGAAGUGAGGUUGGAGAUGUUUGGCCUAGCUGGAGGCUCUCUAUAGAAUAACUUCUUAUUUUUCUUUUAUCACUGUUGUAUUUUAUGUAUCUGGGCUAUAAUAAUUUGUAAGAAUAUUGGGGUAUAUAGUGAAUAUGGG